GGGAUCGUGGCGCAGUUGGCUAGCGCGUAGGUCUCAUAAUCCUAAGGUCGUGAGUUCGAGCCUCACCGAUCCCA
rnacentral:tRNA from 5 species